AGAAAAAUAAACAUGAAUGCAAUUUGAUCAAUUGAGGUUAAACACAAAAGUGGAUGGAUGAAUGGAGUUGUUGGGGGUUUACAAUUUCAUCUUAUCCUCUCUGUUAUUUACUCCUCUUGAAUUAUUAGCUUGAUUAGUUAAUUGUCAUGCAGCUUUCUUAGUCUACCCUUAACCCGAUCCCUCGGCGAAAAGAGCCUAAUACUAAUUACUGGCUUGCUAUCCCUAGCCUCCCCUAGC
rnacentral:lncRNA from 1 species